GUCGAGAAUCAUUCACAAUGGGGGAAACCCUGAUGGUGUGACGCCGCGUGGAGGAUGAAGGUCUUCGGAUUGUAAACUCCUGUCAUGUGGGAGUAAAGCCGGGUGUUAAAUGCAUGCCGGUCUGAGAGUACCACAAGAGGAAGGGACGGCUAACUCUGUGCCAGCAGCCGCGGUAAUACAGAGGUCCCAAGCGUUGUUCGGAAUCACUGGGCGUAAAGGGUGCGUAGGCGGCGCGGAAAGUCAGGGGUGAAAUCCCGGAGCUCAACUCCGGAACUGCCUUUGAUACUCCCGCGCUUGAGAACUGGAGGGGAGACCGGAAUUCACGGUGGAGCAGUGAAAUGCGUGGAUAUCGUGAGGAACACUAGUGGCGAAGGCGGGUCUCUGGACAGUAUCUGACGCUGAGGCACGAAAGCGUGGGUAGCGAACAGGAUUAGAUACCCUGGUAGUCC
rnacentral:rRNA from 1 species